rnacentral:rRNA from 1 species
AGUGAACGCUGGCGGUAGGCCUAACACAUGCAAGUCGAACGGCAGCACAGUAAGAGCUUGCUCUUACGGGUGGUGAGUGGCGGACGGGUGAGGAAUACAUCGGAAUCUACUUUUUCGUGGGGGAUAACGUAGGGAAACUUACGCUAAUACCGCAUACGACCUACGGGUGAAAGCAGGGGAUCUUCGGACCUUGCGCGAUUGAAUGAGCCGAUGUCGGAUUAGCUAGUUGGCGGGGUAAAGGCCCACCAAGGCGACGAUCCGUAGCUGGUCUGAGAGGAUGAUCAGCCACACUGGAACUGAGACACGGUCCAGACUCCUACGGGAGGCAGCAGUGGGGAAUAUUGGACAAUGGGCGCAAGCCUGAUCCAGCCAUGCCGCGUGGGUGAAGAAGGCCUUCGGGUUGUAAAGCCCUUUUGUUGGGAAAGAAAAGCAGCAGGUUAAUACCCCGCUGUUCUGACGGUACCCAAAGAAUAAGCACCGGCUAACUUCGUG